rnacentral:tRNA from 3 species
GGCAGGUUGCCCGAGUGGCCAAAGGGAGCGGUCUGUAAAACCGUCGCGUCAUGCUACCCAGGUUCGAACCCUGGACCUGCCACCA